AAAACGCCCCGAACUUGCUGGGAAAAGUGGGGACAAGUUAAAUAAGGGCUACCGUGUGUGCAGUGCACAUUUCAGCCCUGACAGUUUCUUGGACCCACAAAAAAGCAGGCUUUCCAAGACCUACUGCUCGUCCUCAGAAAUGGAGAGCGUGUGCCAUGUCUGAAGGCAGUGCCAGCUCUCCUGCAGUACCGGCCGCCAGUGAAGCAUCAGCGCCUCUUGUAGACAGUGCACGUGAGACGCCAAUUGUGACGACUCCGGACAUGACGUCUGAAAGCUGCAC
rnacentral:lncRNA from 1 species